rnacentral:rRNA from 1 species
GUGGAUUAGAUACCCUGGUAGUCCACGCCGUAAACGAUGUCUGCUAGCCGUUGGGACCCUUGAGGUCUCGGUGGCGCAGCUAACGCGAUAAGCAGACCGCCUGGGGAGUACGGCCGCAAGGUUAAAACUCAAAUGAAUUGACGGGGGCCCGCACAAGCGGUGGAGCAUGUGGUUUAAUUCGAUGCAACGCGAAGAACCUUACCAGGUCUUGACAUCCAGAGAACCCUGCAGAGAUGCGGGGGUGCCUUCGGGAGCUCUGAGACAGGUGCUGCACGGUCGUCGUCAGCU